CUUUAUUACCUGCUGCCUCCCAAAGCAUAAUCCAAACUACAAACUGCCUACCUUUCCAAGUUUGACAACUUUCAUACAUCGUCCGCGUGGAUUUCAGCUUUUCACAACUCCCGCGAGAACCAUGGAUGUUAGUAUACAUAUAAACUUUCUUCUCCACUUCAAUCACUAUCUAAUAAAUAAACCGCAUCAAAAUCCGUUGCGUAGUUUUAAAGAUUUAAGCAUACACAGGGACAGAGAAAGCGACUUUGUUUUAUAAUAUGUAGUGAUAAACCCCAGCCUGUAGACGCCUUUAUGUUAAAAAGACCCACUUUAGAACAACUUAUUUGCAGUUAAAUUGUUAUACAAUUAUGAUAAUUAACCGACCGAUUAUGAAAAUUAAAAACGCGCGUGCAACGUGCAAAUGUUGCGUUAGAAGUUAUAUGUUGUUAGAAGCCUGUGUUGAUACACCGUAUGACUGGACUCCCUUCGGUGUAGUUCCAGUAUAAGCUGGAAAGCUUAUUACUGGAACUACACCUUGACCCAUCACGACAGCCCACUGUCAAGGGCCAUCCUAUAGAGGGGCAAGAGUGACAGCUGAUGGCCAAAUCUUCAUUACACAGACUUUUGGACAUGAGAUUGCGGAAAUAGGCACAUACAGACAUAAAGUACCUGUUGUCACUCAACAAGACACGUUUACGAGGAAAAUGCUGAGGGAAUAGAAUAUUUAGCAACCAUAAGUGUCGCCGCACACGGGCCACACGCGACAAGAAGCAAAAAGGGGCCACAAAAGUAACUGAAGCGCGCGACAACCACUUGUGGCCGGUGGUCGACACUUGUGGUCGGUGGCUGCUACAUUUUAACCCAAGCAUGCAGUAUAUAAUCGCGCGAGUGGCGUGUUGCGGCGUUUUGUGUCAGCGUUUAGUGGCCGGUGCGGGCUACAAGAAGAGCGUGUGGCGUGUGCGGCGAGUCCAUAUAAAAUAUGUGAAAACUGCCUUAAUUUAAGGUCAAUUACAGAAAAUAAAUGCCAGUUAACACCAGCAGUAUUUGGGCUUGUGUUGUUGGUUAGUAACCUAGAAUGUUUUUAAAAAUAAUAUGAACUCAUAGGUUCCCCGUUUUUUUAUGAUACUUCGAACUUGCGCAAGUGUUGAGUUAGCACCGUAGUUUUGCGACAAACCCAACGAAAAGCCCUCAGUACAAUGAGCAAAAAUCAUAAACCAACGUUAGGUCAUAAUUGUAGAAAAAAUCACAAUAAAUUCUAUCUCUAGCUAACUACAAAUUCUUGCUUUUUAACACUGUGUAAGAAAUUUCUAGUCUAUAGUCACUCUGUGGUAAAAAGUAGAUACGUUGUCAAACAUUGUCAAAGUUAAAAGAUAUUACAAAAAUAUCGAUUUCUAAGUUUUGGCUCAAAACUUUCUUUUAGAAAAAGUUAAAUUGACUAGAAAUGCCUAAGCCGUACAAAAGUGGUUCAAGAGAAGUGGUUUUUAGAGAUUUUAAACGAUUUUAAGGACAGAACAAGUGGAGUAGACUAAGACUUAAGUGAUAUUUAUGGUCGAGCAGCUCUAAUGACUGGAAUAUCAUAAACUACUAUUCGUCGUAUUGUUGGUGAAGGGAUGUCAAACGGUGGAAUAUUUGAAACACCUGGAAAACAUAGAAUUGGUCGCCCAAGAAAAAUAUUGGAUGAUUUUCACCUAUGUGCAAUUCGGCAAAAUGCACUUUUUUACACAGUGCGGAAAGUCCAACACUCAGAAAAUUGUUACAUAUUGUUUGGGAAGAGUUAAAUUAUGAUGGAAGUCAUGAACAUAUAAGAAAAAUAUUAUAUUUAAUUGGAUUUAAAUAUAAAAAAUGUCAAUCCAACAGAACAGCUUUGGUUGAAUUCUGAUUAAUUUGAGUAUUUUUUUUUCAAUUUAAUGAAAAAUAAUUAGUACCUAUUUAUUAUUAUUUCUACAUCCAACUGCUUAUUCCGUUUAGCUUGGCCUAGAGCUAGACUGUUCCAAAGAAAAGUGAAAAGGACAUGUCCAGAUUUGUAUGGAAUCUGGGACUAUACCUGAGUGUCAAGCAAGCAGCACUUAAUUUCUUAAAAUCUUUACACUAAGGACGAGUUAAAACAUCCAUCGUUUGAUUCAUUUACUGCGGUUUUCGUCGCCGUAUCGUGUAUAUGUGUUAUGUUCAUCAUUAUCAUAUCAGCCGAUGAAUGUCCACUGCAGGACGUAGGCCUUUUGUUUAUUUUUUUUUGUACAUGACAAAAGGCGUUAUGUUAUUUUGCACAAUUUUAAGUAAUUAAUUAAAUAAUUAAUAAAUUUAAAGUAUCAAACCUUUUUAGGUGAAUUAUACAGGGAUACCAUGUAAGCGAUAGUAGCGACCUCAUUAAUUUCCAUCUCUUUUUUGACAGACUGUAAGCAAUAACUUAGAAUAUACAUGGAUAUAUAUAUGGAUUCGGAUACUCCUCGUUACAAGGCAUCCAAAUUUUGGUACGUACCUACGUACGUAGGUCUCAAACGGUGAAGGAAAAACAUCGCGAGGAAACCUCCAUACCAGAGAAUUUUCUUAAACCUCUGCGUGUGUGUGAAGUCUGCCAAUGCAGUCCGCAUUGGUCUAGCGUGGUGGACUAUUGGCCUAACCAUUCUCAUUCUGAGAGGAGACUCGAGCUCAGCAGUGCGCCGAAUAUGGGUUGAUAAUGAUGAUGAAUAUACAUUUCCUAAGUAAGCUCAUUGCAUUUUAGGCCACAGCUACCACUAUACAGGAAGAAAUUUUUUCAAGUACGGAUAUUUUUAUAUUUUGUACAUAAACAAAAUUUAAUGAACACGUAUUUUUUCUUUUUUUUUUUAACUCAACAAUAACAAAGUUAUCGUUAGCUAAAGUUUAAACAUUUAAACAGAAUUUGAGGGUCACCCUAUCGCUGUACUAAGUAAUAGCACAGUAAUAGGCAACUACAAAAUCAGCUGGUAGGUACUAGGUUAGCGAGCGCCCGCGCCUAGGGCCGUUGACCUUUCUACGUUUAUUUUUGUACCUAUUAUUUUUUAUAAUAAUUAAAGGUAGGUAAUCACUUUUGAGUUGAGUAUCGAAUUUCCCUUCAUACUUUAUUGGGCUUAGGACCAUCAAUAAUGCGUAGUAAUAAUAAAAAUUAUAAACUUUCGAUUGGAAUAAUGAAAUACAAAUGAUGAUUAUUAUUACGCAAACUUUUACAUUAAAGGAUGAUUCGACUUAAAUGCGCAAGCGACGGCAGAUUGUCUGUCACUGGUCGCCCAUCGGCAAUUCGGCAGGCACCCUCAGGGAUUUUUCGAUCCCCUCACCCCUGCCACCCCCGUCAGCCGAAGCCGAAGCGAUAUGACUACUGCCGGUAUUUCUUUGUCGGCGUCUUACAAAGUGCCGCCAGCAGUUGCGCAGUUUGUUUGGGAAUGUGUCCAUUAUUUUGUUAUUUCUGAGACAUAAAUUGAAAAAAAAAAUUACAUAAAAUGUAUCGAACUGUUUGUAGAUUUAUGUUCUAUUAAUGAUACAGAACCACGAAAAAAAAUGUCCGCACUAAAGUCCGAAUCACCCUGUAUGUAUGUUCGCAGUCAAGCGCGAGCUGAUGCUAUAUAAAAACAUAUAUUUGAUUACUAUUAUUGUAAGUAUCUAUUACCUAUUUAUUUAUAGAUCGCGAAAAAAUGACGUCUCAAGAAUACUUACUUGUCGACCUUGGUUGCUUUUGCUACUAAAAUAUCUGUAGGAUGCCCUCUCAUACCUACACAGCGAUAUUGUUUUUAUGAGGUAUAUACGAGCAAAGAUUUUAUAACAUUAGAUAUGCUACUAGCGCGUCGAAACUGAGGCAAACUAAAGUGGCUAUUUGUCAUUAUUUAAUUUAGUGUCAUAGUAAACAACGAAAGUUAUUUAUACAACUAAUACCUAAAUAUUGUCUACAAUGUCGAGUUCUGUGUACAGGAAGUAUAAAAACUAUACAUAUAUACAUCAUUAUAUAAUGUAGUUAUUAUUAUUCGUACCUAUGCAGGUUUAAUUUAGUUAUACAUUUGGAAAUACAAAUGAACCGUUAAUUUUUUUGUCCAAAAUAAAAUAUAACGAAAUUGUAGGUUUAAAAAGCUAUUCGAGUUUGAUUUCUUAUCUGAUACUUCGACAUAAUAAAGACAAUAUUAUUUUUAAACACUUAAAAUUUAAUCAUUUUUCAACAAAUCAAACGAUUGUUUUUCGCCGAACCAGCUGGCCUAUUCACUGUUUUGGUACUAUCAAUCCAUUCACAAAAUGUGAUGUACCUACUAUAAGAUCCACCAGGAGGCACCGGAUGUUAUUCGAGCGUAAGUCUCAAGAUAACUCGCACGGGCUGUAGUUAUACAGGAUCUCAGCUAAAAGGGCUCAGCUAUAUAGACUAACGUUUUAUACGCACGUAUAAGCUCAAAGCGCAUGGUGAGUCAACCUGCGAUACUCCUGAGUUUGGGGAAAAUAUACAUGAAAAGGACAAUGCCAGACAAUGUAUAGGAGUUUAACCCACUAAAAAAAUUCCUUUGCAACAAUAUAUUAUACUUCAUUUUAUUGGAUUUUGUGUACUAUUAAAUAUAUAAUACCUUUUAACCCUUUAUAACUAGGGGUAUAAUUAUUUUCAAAUUACUCCAAGGUGUAAUAAUAUGUGUUUUGACAGUUUGACAGUGUUAUGAUUGUUUAUUUUUUCAUAUUGAUCAGACUUCGCAGCUCUGGAUUCUAGUCAUUUUGAACCUCGAAAGUUCUCGAACCCAAGGUUGAAAUCAGGUUUUUAAAAAAUAAGUAAACAAUGUCUGUUACGAGGAAAUACCGUAAUGGAUUUAAUUACUUUUUUUGACAGAUUUUUAUUCCGGAGUUUAAUAAUAAAAAUGGUUUAUUAAAAAACAAUUAUUUAAAAAUUGGAUAAUUUUAGUACAUUUACAUUUUCCGCAAAAUUCUGAGUUAGGACUGGGUCAGAAUCUGGCAUUCUCCUUUGACUAAAUUGUGGCUCCCUCUUCUGGUAAAAGGCUUGCCAAAAGAAAAAAAGGAGAAGUUGUUGAAGGAAUACCUUAUCCCUGACAACUGUAAGCUGCUACAACCGCUUAAGUUAAAUGCAGAAAUAUCAGCCACGCUAACGGAUCCUGUAAGAAACAGGGAUAACGGCCAUCAAUAGAGCCCUGAAUGUUCUCUUAAGUGAGGAUGACAAGAAGAACGCUAUCCACCAUCUAAGCAAUGCUUACACAGAUUGUUCAUGAUUGUAUUUUUCAUUAUUGUUCAUGAUUGACUGUAAGAGAUGAAACUCUUCUCGGAAAUAAGCUGCCAGAAGGAUCAAGGCAGCCAAAGAUGUUGAACGACAAGGCCUGCAGAUUAAAAAAAGUAAUCUGAGAUCUUCCAGCUCUCAGAAUAGAAAUCGUUACUUUAAUUCGGGAAACUGGUCAGUCCCACCCUGGUUCUUAUCGAACCGAGGAAACCGAGGUGGGAAGAAAAUAACGACCCAGAGCCGCCGUCCAUACUCGAGCUCGACGUAACAGCAGCAAACGCUGAAACCCGCAUCAGCGAAUAAGUCUCGUGCCCCAGCGCCGCAAUUACUCAGGUACACGCAGGGUAUAGCGAGACCAUUUUGGAUACAAAAUACCCUUUUGCAAGGAAGUUUGUCAAACAAACGUCCCUAGCAAAUCCUUUUCCAAGUUAUCGCUCGAGAAAAUGUCAACUGCGAUUCAAAAACUAGUUGAUUUAUUUGCAAUAACAGAAUGUCCUCCAAGUAGUGAUCAGUUUGUCUCCAAAAUGUGUGAAAAGUCAUAACUCAUUUGAGAAACGUGGGUUUUAAUUCAGUAAUUUGUCUUGAUGAUAUUCUCUGUAUCGGAAACACUACAAAAUAGAAACUAAGAUAUAAAGCGUUGAAUGUCGUAUAAUUGAAGACCAUGAACGUUAGCUCAGCGGAAAUGUUUAUUGAAAGAGAAAUUAUAUAAUUUUCCUUUCACCGAGACAUUAUUUUCAUCUACUCGUAAUUAUCUAAUCUUGUGGUUUCCUAACGUUACAUUUAGAAUUGUUAUAAUAUAGUCCAUUCCUGAUACUAUAAAUGCGAAAGUAAGGCUUAAUAGAUUUUGAUAAACUUUGGCUAAUAAAUAAAUUGAACCUUGAAGUAGAAUACAGGCUUCUUUUUAGGGUUCUGAACGUAAGUAGUACAAUAAUAAUAAAACGAGAAAAAUCUACAGAGCAAGUAAUUUUAUUUAAGAAAAAUAAUGAACAUGAACAAAAUUUCCACAAAAUACAAGGAGGAAGGAGGAAGGAGGAAUUAAAAAAUUGCAAAAUACAGGCAAAACCUGUUAAAACUUCAAGGGUUGAAGAAUUUCAAUUAAAUAAAACAGGAAAUACGUACAGCUAGAUAUUUAAUUUAGGUUACUAAGAUUACAUAAUAAAUAUUUAGAGUAUAUCAAAAUUCUAAAUUUAAAUAUCAAAUAAUACACACACAACUCAACAACAUAAUAAACAGAUAUACAAGGUCUCCGACUACCUUGUCGAAGGAAAUUUGGCAGUUCCUCCUCACACUGUGGAACAUUAAAAAAGACGUAGGUACAGC